GUGUUUUCCUCCCAAAUAAUUAUUACAUCACAGAAGGCAAAGAAAAGUCAUAAUGUUCAUUCUGUAUUCCUAGUGCCUUAGAGUUGACUGCAUAUUAGAUGCUCAACAAAAACUUUUUAUUUGGCUCGGAGGGACUGUAUCUCCUCAAGAGAAGAGCUGUGGAGAUGUCUGUUGCUGCUUCUGACUCAUCUGAAGAACUACAUCCAGUAAACAUUCAAAGAAUCAUCUUCUGUGACACAGUCUGGUGGCAUUUAACAAGGAAUUUUAUGAGCAUUUAAGGACCAAAUAUUUAUAAAUUCUCACCACACCUCUGCAAAGUAGGUAAGGAAACUUAUUCCUUUGAAAGCACCCUGUCCUUUAUCAAUCUUGUCAAGAUUGUCAAAUCUUCCCCAUGCUGCAAAUGGCAGUAGCAAUUAUUGUUAUUUUUCCUUAGUAAUAAUAAAAUACCAGAGUAACCAGAAUUAAGUUUAUGCAAAGAGGAAACUGAUGCCCCUGUUGGUGGUCCAAGUUUUUGUAGGGCCAGCAGAAAGUCAUCACAGAUUCCCACACUCCAUCUCAUCUCCACCAAUUUACUGAUGCUGGAUAUCAGACAUGAUGCCUUUUUUUCGUUCAUUAUUUAAAUGAAGAUCUAUUAAGUGCCUAGCUUCUAGAUGCUGCAAAUAUAACAGUGUAAAACAAAAAUGAAACAAAACCAAAGUUUCCCAUUUCAGAGAGCUCAUAGUCUAGUGUGUUGUUAGUUACCAUUUCUCCUUUCUGACUCGACCCCAGAUCUCCAAAACACUUAUGCAAUGGUGUCCCUAAAGGCUUAGCUCCUUUCAAGUUCCCAGAUUAACCAAGACAUAAAAUAAGACUAAUAUGGGUAUACACAUAUGUAUUGCCGAAAAUUAAAGCAUACUCCUAACCAAUCCUGCAAUGCUUUGCCCCAUUCAUACCCCAGAUGUGGUCUGUCUAAUCAGCUCAUGGACCUAAAGUCACCAUAGCGGUGCUGUUCAGUGUGGUAGCCACUAACCACAUGUAGAUAUUACACCAGUCACAUGUGGUGAAUACAGAUAUAGAGUAUUUGCUUCAUUGGCAAAGGUAUAUUGGGCAGCUCUGCUCUAUAGUUUCAUUGGGAUCCUCCUCCUUCUUCAUUAUUAUUAUUAUUAUUAUUGAGACAGGGUCUUGCUCUGUUGCAUGGGCUGGAGUGCUGUGGCGCGAUCUCAGCUCAUUGCAACCUCUGCCUCCCGGGUUCAAGUGAUUCUCAUAUCUCAACCUCCCAAGCAGCUGGGAUUGCACGUAUGCACUACCACAGCUGGCUAAUUUUUGUAUUUGUAGUAGAGCUGGUGUUUCACCAUGUUGGUCAGACUGGUCUCGAACUCCUGGCCUCAAGUGAUCCGCCCACCUUGGCCUUCCAAAGUUCUGGGAUUACAGGUGUGAGCCACGGUAACCAGCUAUUUAUUUGUUUUUAAUAGAAACUUUCUUAACUCCCAACCUGUUUCCAGAUCUACGUGUCCAUGCCUUCUUUUUCAGAUCUAGACUCUUCUCCAGAUAUCCCCAGUCUUCUGCUUGUUAAUGGAGUACUUGCCAUGACCACUCCUGAAGUGCCUAGGGUUCUGAGACUCACACAGUCCAUGUUGUAUAUAUGUUCUUCCCAACUUGUGGGUCAAACAGGUACUAACUACUGAACUGUGGCUAAGUCUGCCAUGCACAGGCCUUUAAAACAGUCUGGCCUCUCACUUCUUCAGAUCUCUAGUGCCACUUUCUAGGAAAUCCAUCAUCUUUCCACCAUCCAUUAUCUCACUGCCAUGGUCAAGCCUAAUCUGAAACUCUCAUUUCUUC
rnacentral:lncRNA from 1 species